GUUUGUUGCUAUUUGGUACUUUAAGUCCUUUGGUGUUAUUGAUAACUUGACGUUCGAUAAUAUUGUCAGUUUCACAGUUUGAAUAAGUUUUGGCUUUUAUUGUUCGUUUAGGUCUUGCUGGUAUGACAAAAUUGUCGGCUGGUAGAGCCGGCACCAGACCCUCAACCACCUUGUAAAUCAGGAUAAGACGGAGGCUGUGUCUUCUUUCCUCU
rnacentral:lncRNA from 1 species